UGUUUGGUGUUCAGAAAAUGGAACAGUGGUUGGUGCAGUGCAAACACAAAAAAGAGGUGCGAAAAGUGAAAGAAAAAUGCAAAAAGGAUCAUACAUGGCUCCAGAUGCUCGGUCGGAAACAGAAUGAUAAUUGAAAAUAUAUUUGCAAUACCGUACAACACCACCACCACCACCACUUACAACACCGUCAAGGGACCGUCCGUGGUGCCUCAAAUCACAGCCCCUUCAAACAGAAAAGUAGAUUGAAUAAAGCAGAAAACUAAAAAAAUGUCCUCUCAUACGCACGACUGUGACAAAUGUACCGUCAAAGAAGUAAGCAAAAAAAGGAAAACCCCCCUAUACGAAGUGUUUCAUUUCUAUUGUGUGCCGUCUGUGUGUAUGCUGGAGCUUGUCAUGCUUGUCUGCCAUUCAAGGGAAUCCGAUGAUGGGUAGGACCGUGGAAUUGGGUUCCCUUGUGGAAAGCACCCUCAACCAUCAUCAUCAUCAUCAUCAUCAUCAACAACAUCAUCGUCAUCCUGCCAUCGUGGUGGUUGACACAGGAUCUCCUGUCGCUCGCAAACCACGGUGGCAAAACAGGACGCGCACGCGGGGAAGAAAACAGGGCCGAUUACGGUUCCGGUGAGUGACUUCUUUACCCGGUUAACAAAUAAUAUGAUGUAUCGUGUGCGAUUGAGUAAAUGGAUCGCUUCCCUUGGCACAGUAUUCCCUUUUGUGCCACGGCA